GAAAUGGGUCAUACCUGAUAUUACCAGAGCACACAGCAGUAUGAGUCAUAAUAUUUUUCAGUACUUUUAGUUGUACUCAAGUAAAUUAUUCCUUAAGUAGCAAUAUUUUUACUUAAGUACAAUUUCUCAGUACUCUUUCCAGCACUGCCAACUACAGUCAAAAAUAUUAUCAAAGUCUUGACAGGAGAGAGUCAUAAUAAUAUACUAAUGUUGGUUUUGUAGAAUUAUUAAUUCAACUUUAUGAUUUGAUACAAUUCACAACAGUUUAGCUAUUAGAAGAUAUAAUGUUUUAAAAAAUAUUUUUUUAUUCUCACUUCAGUAACUGUAUUUUGUGUCUGUUAAUGAGCGACUGUCUUCAGGUAAAUGAUCUGGAGUGUGUUUGCAUAUUGAUCAGAUGCUUCAGUGCUCUGAGAGUGUUUAUAGUGCUGUGAGUUUAACACUUCAUCACUGACACACACAACAAUCUUCAUCAACAUGACCUUCAUCAUCAUCUUCAUCUGGACUCUCACAGCGUUUGCUCAAGAGUGUAGAGGACAGAUCACCGUCACUCAGAGUCCCUCAACGACAGCAGCUCGACCAGAAGAAACAGUCAAAAUCAACUGUAAAACCAGUAGAGAUGUGUACAGUUAUUAUGGGUCAUACUAUUUCAGCUGGUACUUACAGAAACCUGGAGAAGCUCCUAAACUCCUGAUUUAUGCAACAAGCAACCGCCAGUCAGGAACUCCAUCUAGAUUCAGUGGCAGUGGAUCUGGGACUGAUUUCACUCUGACCAUCAGUGGAGUCCAGACUGAAGAUGCUGGACAUUAUUACUGUCAGAGUUUUCAUUGCAGAACAGAUUCUGAUGGUGAUUGUGAGGGUGAUGAUGUGUUCACACAGUGAUAAAGAGUCGUACAAAAACCUCCGUCAGUCAGAGUCACAGAGACUGAACUGAUCCUGCAGCUGCUCAAACACUAUCACUCACUACUGACACACAGAGACAAACACAGCAACUACACAUGAGCUCAAAACUGAGUUAGGAGUCAAAUUAGACUGUGAUUUGUCUUGUGACAGACGAGUUUGACUCCGAAUCAGAGAAAACAGUGUGUAAACUGAUAUCAAACAGACAAUAA